rnacentral:sRNA from 1 species
AUCGCGUUAGGGAUCGAAGUGAAAAUCCUUUUUUACGAACGCAUGCAAUGCGUCGUAUAAAAGAUUGAAGCGCAGAGCCCGACCGCAG